UCCUUGCUUGGUGCUUAGGUUAGUGCUGUAGAGGUACAACAAGCAGGCAGUUGGGUAGUGAUGUUGGAACGACUAGUUGAUCCUUCAGUUUGGAGAGCAGAAUAUCUAGCCUGUAGGGAAAUAGCCUUCUAUAGUUGCAGAGCUUGAUGGAGGGCCUCAUUAAGGGUCUCUAGUCGAUACAAUCCUAGUUAGGCUUUUAUGUCGAUCUGUAGGCCAUGCUAGAAGCUUGCCAUAUGGUGUUCAUCAUAAUCAACAAUUCCACACCUUGCAUUCAAUUCAUUGAAUUGCUCGAUGUAUUCACUGAUAACAGAACAUCCUGCUUAAGUUAUAGAAGCUUUUCAUAAAUUUGAUUGUGAUAAUUGUGAGCAUGUAUUUCUCUUUCAGCUUCUUAUGCGUCACUUUCUAAGUGUUAACAGGUACAUCAUAGGCAUGAGCAUGAUCUUCGACUAUCUUCCACCAACUUUUGGCUUGACCUCUGAGCUUGACUAACUCAACACUUCUUAGCCCAUUCAGCUUGUACGAAUUGAUAUAGUCUUCAAUGGAUGCAAGUCAAUAAAAGAAAGCAUCCAAGUCAACUUUGCCUUGAAAGUCUUCUCCCUCUAGUUGAACCCUUUUGUAGAUGUCUUCAUCAGGGUCAUGAACUCUUGGUUGGGCAGCUAGAGGUGGGUGGUCCUCUUCAAUUUCAUUGAGUUGCUGUGGUGGGGCUGGAAUUGCAUGCCUAAUAUCAUCUACAUGGGCCGCUAGAUCAUGCAAGAUGUCUAUUACAUCAUCAAAUCAAUGCUCUAGCUAGGCAAUACGAGCUUCGAGAAUUAUUAGAGGAUUAGUAUUGCCAUUACUUUAGGGUUCUGAGUUGUCAUGAUUGGUAGAGCAUGACCACUGCACAGUUGCAUACAAGAAUUGGAUGCAGGGGUAUUAGGUGGCUGCAGAUGUGCUGUCAGGUCAGGAUUGGAUGGUGGAGUGAAUGCUAUUGGAUAAGCUUGGUCUGACAUAGUCAACUUGGAAUGAGAGCAGAGCCGCAAAGGCACUAGAAGUCAGCUUCGGCUUAACCUAGGAAUCCCAUGUCAAACCUAAUUGGAAAACCAAAUCCAACUUGGAUCUUGUGGCCCUAAAUCUUAAGUAGCUCAAAAUCAGGAUCGAAUUGUAAUGGAUAUGUAGUCUGAACCCAUUCUAACUAACUUGGAUUAGGCCUCGUAUUGGAUAGUACAGGGAUGUUGUCCAAAGGAGAUAUUGGGGGAUUAGGAUUGGGAUUGGGAUUGGAAACCUUUGGAGCGAUAAUUAUUCUUCUUUUCUGGGAUGAAGUGGAAGAGGACCGUUGAUCAUACAGAUAGGGUGGUGAAGGAAAGCUAAGGGGUAUGCUAGAGCAAUGAAACAAUGAGGCUCUUAUUUUUGGCUUUGAUGCCAAAACUGAUGCAAGCAAGCUUGCAUGAGAAUAUGGAAUCUGUGGAAGCAAGGUAUAACUAUUGACCUCACACCAGCCUCCUUGAGAGUCUUCAGCCCUUCGCCUCAAGAAGGGAAUCACUCCAAGCAAGGAAUUGAGGAAGAACUUUAAAAACUUUAUUGAUGAUUACUUCAUGGCAAAAGAGAAUACAACUAGGGCCUUUUUGUAGGAGAGCUCAUAGAGCCAAUGGGAUUUUCUGAGUUCUCAUGAUACAACUUUUCUACAANNNNNNNNNNNNNNNNNNNNGAAGGGAACAUAAUCCCACUUUAGUUCUCUUACAGCUGAUGAACUUUUAACAAGCUGCAUAACGUUGCAUGCUUGUCAGAUAGCAUUACUUAGUUAAGUGAAACACAUUGAGAUUUGAUGCAUACAUAGGCACACACGUUAUACAUGUGGAUGUGAGUGCACAUGCAUAUAUAUACUUGUUCUUGUUUUAAUUUUUUAGUUUGUAUGGUGAUGUCAUUUAUUUCCAUCAUCUUACCAUGAAGAAGAAAAGGUUUUAUAUACUCGAGACCAUUACAAAUUACAAGUUCUUGUUUACACUUUGUUGUUAUGUACUAUUAUAUGUGAAAAUCCUCGACUUGCUUGUCUGAUUAAUUUUUUAUUACACAUUUGUUAGCUUUGUCUGAUCUUGGUAACCAUGUGCCUGAUAAGCUCUAAUUUGGAUGUCCUUGUUAGGGAGAGGAAUUAAAGGACGAAUGUCAUAGACCUAAAACAAUAAUGAACCACUUGGUUGUUCAGUUCUGACAGCAUAUGAUUUAGUCCUGUCUUGGAUUUUCAAAUUUUCAGACAAUCUGCAAGAUGCAAUAGACAACAAGUACAAUAUUAUUAGUAACUUAAGNNNNNNNNNNNNNNNNNNNNUGGGAGUAAUCUGAUAGAUUGAUUACUCCUGCAAAUGGAUCUUCUAUAAUUGGAGCCACAUCACCUAAAGUGUUUUAUCCAGUUAC
rnacentral:lncRNA from 1 species